rnacentral:rRNA from 1 species
UGGGGAAUUUUCUGCAAUGGGCGAAAGCCUGACAGAGCAAUACCGCGUGAGGGAAGAAAGCCCACAGGGUUGUAAACCUCUUUUGUCAAGGAAGAAGUUCUGACGUUACUUGACGAAUAAGCAUCGGCUAACUCCGUGCCAGCAGCCGCGGUAAGACGGAGGAUGCAAGUGUUAUCCGGAAUCACUGGGCGUAAAGCGUUUGUAGGUGGUUUAGUAAGUCUAUUAUUAAAUCUUGAAGCUUAACUUCAAAACUGUAAUAGAAACUACUAGACUUGAGGAUAGUAGGGGUAAAGGGAAUUUCCAGUGGAGCGGUGAAAUGCGUAGAGAUUGGAAGGACCACCGAUGGCGAAGGCACUUUACUGGGCUAUAUCUGACACUAAGAGACGAAAGCUAGGGUAGCAAAUGGGAUUAGAUACCCCCGUAGUCC